AUAAAUUUUACGUAGGCUUCCUUUCUAUGGUUAAUCGACUUCCUUUCUGGCAGGGAAGAGAAAAUCCACAGCAAGCAAAAAUCCAACAUGGAGAAAACUUGGCAUUAAUCGAUGGGCUUGUUUUCAAAUCUUUCCACCAUGUUCGAUCAAGGACAGUGAUAAGGUGAUGUAGCGGAUACGUCGUAUGUGAACAUGGCAGAAUAGUGGAGAGCACGUUUUUAGAACUUUCAAUGUAGAAUGACGUGUGUGUUUGUUUUUCUUUAUCGUUUGUUUUUUGAUCCUUGUAAAAUUGUGAUUGAUAUACCAACGUAUUAAAUAAAGUUCACAACUAGUUAAUGUAACAAGGUGAUUUUAUUACCUUGCACAUGCUGGGACUGAUACGAGUAGCGAAGAAACAUGCACCUGAAACAAUGGUCAAUAAGCUGAUGAGCUGUUUAUCAACGUGAGGCGUGGUUUCAAUCGAUCGGCAGUUGGACUGUCCAAGAAAUCGUAUAAAUUUCCAAGACAACGACACAAUCAUCAUCAUUAUUGUCGUUUAUUUUUGCUUAAUUAUGGACCUCAACCAACACAUAAUUAAAAUAUUACACCUACUAAUACUAACACUAUUACAACAACAACAACAACAAUUUAUAGAACAACUACUACUACUACUACCACCACCUGGAAUGUCCAAGAAAUCAUAUAAAUUAUACUCAAGUGAUAUUUAUUUUUAUAUUCAAUUUAGAAACAUGGAUGACAACCAACGAAAUCAGCUAUUCCAAAUACAAAAAAAACCUUUUACAAAUACAACAUCAAAUUGACAUUAUUCCUAUCGUUUUGGUUAAUGGAACAAUAAAUAUGAGUUUUGGUUUUUAUUCAAAAAUUCCUAAUUUUAAUCCACGUGAAAUUGUCAACAAUAUACGAUGUUUAUUGCGUGGAAAAGAAGAAGUUCAAUUGAUGAAACCUUACUAUAAAAAAUAUACAGGGACUAUUGAACGAAUAAAAGAUGAAUAUCAACAUUUCGUUAUAAAUGGUGAGGCAACCAUUAUUCCAAAUACAAAGAAACCUUUUACAAAGACAACAUCAAAUAAUUGACAACAAAUACCAUCACAACCUUUAUCAGCAUCUAAAUCUGAAUCUGAAUCAUCUGUAUCAUUAAUUCCAGAAUAUGGUAAUGAUAAUAAAUUUCAUUGUCCUUGGCCAAGAUGCGGCAAAAAUUCCCUAAAAUGGGAAAAUAUAUUGAACACGAGAAUAUAACGAAAGAAUCAACAAUACCGAUUUCCGUGAUUGAUUGAAAAAAAUUUUCACUUGGCGCACAUUUGGAUCCAAAAUUUUUACUUUCUAAUGUCAUAGCUUCUUUGGUUUGCGAAUCAAAUGUUGGAUUUUCGAUGAGACAAUUCACAAAAACCGAUAGAUGAUUACGUAACUGAUGUGGUUUAAUAUGUACUUUUGAUUUUCGGUUUCAAUCGAUCGGCAGUUGGACUGUCCAAUAAAUCGUAUAAAUUUCCAAGACAACGACACAUUCA